rnacentral:rRNA from 1 species
UACGGAGGGUGCAAGCGUUAAUCGGAAUUACUGGGCGUAAAGCGUUCGUAGGCGGUUUGUUAAGUUAGAUGUGAAAGCCCCGGGCUUAACUUGGGAACGGCAUUUAAAACUGGCAAACUAGAGUUUGGGAGAGGCAAGUGGAAUUUCAGGUGUAGCGGUGAAAUGCGUAGAGAUCUGAAGGAACACCAGUGGCGAAGGCGGCUUGCUGGACUAAAACUGACGCUGAGGAACGAAAGCAUGGGUAGCAAACGGGAUUAGAUACCCCGGUAGUCCAUGCCGUAAACGAUGUCAACUAACUGUUGGGUACUUCGGUACUUAGUGGUGGAGCUAAUGUAUUAAGUUGACCGCCUGGGGAGUACGGCCGCAAGGCUAAAACUCAAAUGAAUUGACGGGGGCCCGCACAAGCGGUGGAGCAUGUGGUUUAAUUCGAUGCAACGCGAAGAACCUUACCACCCCUUGACAUCCAGAGAAUCUGUUAGAGAUAGUAGAGUGCCUUCGGGAACUCUGAGACAGGUGCUGCAUGGCUGUCGUCAGCUCGUGUUGUGAAAUGUUGGGUUAAGUCCCGUAACGAGCGCAACCCUUAUCCUUAGUUGCCAGCACAUAAUGGUGGGAACUCUAGGGAGACUGCCGGUGAUAAACCGGAGGAAGGUGGGGACGACGUCAAGUCAUCAUGGCCCUUAUGGGGUGGGCUACACACGUGCUACAAUGGCCAGUACAGAGGGCUGCGAACUUGCGAAAGUAAGCGAAUCCCAGAAAGCUGGUCUUAGUCCGGAUUGGAAUCUGCAACUCGACUCCAUGAAGUUGGAAUCGCUAGUAAUCGCGAAUCAGAACGUCGCGGUGAAUACGUUCCCGGGCC